CCUACGGGAGGCAGCAGUGAGGAAUAUUGGUCAAUGGCCGAGAGGCUGAACCAGCCAAGUCGCGUGAGGGAUGACGGCCCUACGGGUUGUAAACCUCUUUUGUCGGGGAGCAAAGCGAGUCACGUGUGGCUCAUUGAGAGUACCCGAAGAAAAAGCAUCGGCUAACUCCGUGCCAGCAGCCGCGGUAAUACGGAGGAUGCGAGCGUUAUCCGGAUUUAUUGGGUUUAAAGGGUGCGCAGGCGGAGGUGCAAGUCAGUGGUCAAAUUGCGGGGCUCAACCCCGUACUGCCGUUGAAACUGCAGCCCUUGAGUGCGCGAGAAGUAGGCGGAAUGCGUGGUGUAGCGGUGAAAUGCAUAGAUAUCACGCAGAACUCCGAUUGCGAAGGCAGCAUACCGGCGCGCAACUGACGCUCAUGCACGAAAGCGUGGGUAUCGAACAGGAUUAGAUACCCUAGUAGUC
rnacentral:rRNA from 1 species